rnacentral:rRNA from 1 species
UACAGGGGGUGCAAACGUUGCUCGGAAUCAUUGGGCGUAAAGCGCGCGUAGGCGGUUGCUUAUGUCGGAUGUGAAAGCCCCUCGGCUUAACUGAGGAAGUGCAUCCGAAACUGAGCAGCUAGAGUACGAAAGAGGGUCGCGGAAUUCCCGGUGUAGAGGUGAAAUUCGUAGAUAUCGGGAGGAACACCGGUGGCGAAGGCGGCGACCUGGGUCGAGACUGACGCUGAGGCGCGAAAGCGUGGGGAGCAAACAGG